ACAUCUCUCACCCCACUGAUCACCAGGGUUGAUAAGGCUGAUCAGACUGGCCAGAUUGGUGU
rnacentral:snRNA from 1 species